rnacentral:rRNA from 1 species
AUUGAACGCUGGCGGCAUGCCUUACACAUGCAAGUCGAACGGCAGCGGGGACUUCGGUCCGCCGGCGAGUGGCGAACGGGUGAGUAAUGUAUCGGAACGUACCUUUCAGUGGGGGAUAACGUAGCGAAAGUUACGCUAAUACCGCAUAUUCCGUGAGCAGGAAAGCAGGGGAUCUUCGGACCUUGCGCUGAUUGAGCGGCCGAUAUCAGAUUAGCUAGUUGGUGAGCUAAAGGCUCACCAAGGCGACGAUCUGUAGCGGGCCUGAGAGGAUGGUCCGCCAAACUUGAACUGACGACCGGUCCAGACUCCUCCGGGAGGCAGCAGUGGGGAAUUUUGGACAAUGGGGGCAACCCUGAUCCAGCCAUGCCGCGUGAGUGAAGAAGGCCUUCGGGUUGUAAAGCUCUUUCGGCCGGGAAGAAAUCGCACGGGUUAAUACCCCGUGUGGAUGACGGUACCGGAAUAAGAAGCACCGGCUAACUACGUGCCAGCCGCCGCAGUAAGAC